CUCCUACGGGAGGCUGCAGUGGGGAAUAUUGGACAAUGGGCGCAAGCCUGAUCCAGCAAUGCCGCGUGUGUGAAGAAGGCCUUCGGGUUGUAAAGCACUUUUAUCAGGAGCGAAAUCUGCAGGGCUAAUACCCAUGCAGUCUGACGGUACCUGAGGAAUAAGCACCGGCUAACUUCGUGCCAGCAGCCGCGGUAAUACGAAGGGUGCAAGCGUUACUCGGAAUUACUGGGCGUAAAGCGUGAGUAGGUGGUUUCUUAAGUCUGCUGUGAAAGCCCCGGGCUCAACCUGGGAAUUGCAGUGGAUACUGGGAAGCUAGAGUGCGGUAGAGGGUAGUGGAAUUCCCGGUGUAGCGGUGAAAUGCGUAGAGAUCGGGAGGAACACCAGUGGCGAAGGCGGCUACCUGGACCAGCACUGACACUGAGUCACGAAAGCGUGGGGAGCAAACAGGAUUAGAUACCCUGGUAGUCCACGCCCUAAACGAUGCGAACUGGAUGUUGGGUGCAACUUGGCACUCAGUAUCGAAGCUAACGCGUUAA
rnacentral:rRNA from 1 species